CACGCCAAACGGCUCCGUAUCUACGCUCUCUGUCGGUCUCGUUAUCUCUGUACUUCCAGUUUCAGUCGGAACAACGGUCUCAGGCUUCCAGCAUCCGCCAUGGAUUACCUGAAGACGGUGGUUCCCUCUCAACUACUCGCCGAAAGAGGCUCCAAUAUCGUCGUCAUCAAUCCAGGUUCUGCAAACAUUCGGAUAGGAUUAGCACACCAAGAUGCUCCUUUCAACAUCCCACACUGCAUUGCUCGACACACCACACGAGCAACAAAAGCUCCCAAAAGAAUUGUUCAAGAUCAAUUGCUUAAUCCUCAGGUUACCACAGCACAGCACAUGGAGCGUGAGAGGGCAUAUGAUAUUAUUGCAUCAAUUUUGAAGAUUCCCUUUCUAGAUGAAGAGGUUGUAAACAAUUCAUUCCCACGGAAGAUGGGACGUGUUGAUGGAUAUACUAAUACUUUUCAGAGCAACAGGAAGGAGGCAGCUUUCACUUGGACCAAUGUGUUGGAGAAGAGGCCUGAUUCUUCAGCACUUGAAGGUUCAUCAAACAAAGGUGAGAUUAGCGAGGCCCCAGCCCAAGAGGAAGGAACUGCCAGCCAGGAACCUGAUUUGAGUGAAUUUAAAUUCAGGGAGUAUAUCUGUGGUGAGGAAGCUCUAAGAAUAUCCCCAAUGGAGCCAUAUUGCUUACGCCGUCCAAUUCGUAGAGGUCAUUUUAAUAUUUCUCAAUAUUACCCUAUGCAGCAGGUAUUUGAGGAUCUGCAUGCCAUCUGGGACUGGAUUUUGAUUGAGAAACUGCAUAUACCUCACAGUGAAAGAAACAUGUUUUCUGCUAUUCUGGUAGUGCCAGAAACAUUUGAUAAUCGUGAAAUAAAGGAGAUGCUGUCUAUUGUUUUGCGAGACUUGAACUUUAGUUCAGCAGUGGUCCACCAGGAAGGUCUAGCUGCAGUUUUUGGAAAUGGGUUAUCAACAGCAUGUGUUGUAAAUAUAGGUGCCCAGGUGACAUCUGUAAUCUGCAUUGAGGAUGGAGUGGCUCUACCUAAUACACAGAUUGCUUUACGCUUUGGUGGAGAGGAUAUAGCAAGAUGCCUUCUCUGGACACAGAGGCAUCAUCAGACAUGGCCACCAAUUCGGACCGAUGCUUUGACAAAGCCUGUGGAUCUAUUGAUGCUUAAUAGACUUAAAGAGACUUAUUGCCAGAUAAAAGAGGGGGAAGUUGAAGCCGUUGCUGUGGUUCAUUCAUAUGAAGAUGGGAUGCCUGCUGGAUCUCAUAAGACAAGGCUAACAGCACUGAAUGUUCCCCCUAUGGGUUUGUUCUAUCCAAUGCUUUUGGUUCCAGAUGUGUAUCCUCCACCACCCCGUUCUUGGUUUAAUGACUAUGAAGAUAUGCUAGAAGAUACAUGGCACUCAGAUGGACUGUAUCCCAGUGUUAACAGUGGGUUUCCAAUGUGGGACAGUUAUUCAUUUUUUCAAACUAAACCAAAGAAAGAAGAUAACAUUGGUCUUGCAGAUGCUAUCACAAAGAGCAUUCUUUCAACAGGGCGUAUAGAACUCCAAAGAAGAUUAUUUUGUAGCAUACAACUGAUUGGCGGUGUGGCUUUGACAGGUGGUCUUAUUCCUGCAGUGGAGGAGAGAGUACUACACGCAAUUCCUCCCAAUGAAGCAAUUGAUACCGUGGAGGUUUUGCAAUCAAGAACAAAUCCAACCUGUGUGACAUGGAAAGGUGGAGCAAUUCUUGGCAUUCUUGAUUUUGGUCGUGAUGCCUGGAUACAUCGAGAGGAUUGGAUUCGCAGUGGGAUUCAUGUUGGAAGUGGCAGAAAAUAUAAAGAUUCCUACUUUCUUCAAGCACAAGCAAUGUGCUAUAUGAAUUCUUAGAAGAUCACAAUGGAGUUACAAGUGGAAACUGUGCGGUCGGAGUGAUGCUCUCUUCUGAACAAAGUUGCAAUGGCUGAACUGGGAACCGGUCAUGCGUCACUAAUAUGAUGUUAGCUCUAGUGAGUUGGCCAAGCAGCUGUAAAGUUUUUGCAAUUUGGGGGGACUCUUGACCUUAGCGUUCCCAACCAGAAUGCUGCUCCUGGUGUUCAGGUCUCGAAUCCUACAGGUUAGCACAAUAUGCAUUGUAGAGCUAUUGACAUAGUAUGACAAAUGCAAUUCUAGAACUACCCUGUUAUUUGGUUUUGAAACCAAAAAUUUGUUUCCAAAACCAUAGUAAUUUUUUAGCUUCAAGUUGAUGGGCAGGUUUGUAGUAAA